rnacentral:lncRNA from 1 species
AAACGUUGACUCUUUGGCCUCCAAAAACAUUGUCUUUCUUUAGUUCUUUUCCUUGCUUGUUUGUGUGAAUGUUCAUUGUAUCUUGGGGACGUUUUAGAGGGGUUGACGACUGAAGUUUCGCAUCACUUUUGAGUGUUCUAAGCUGUCCGCACGUGUCUUAAACCAGGCCCGUGACACCCAGGCUACAUUGUUUCCUUCUAGAGUACAUUCCAGAUUUAUCCUCUACCACUAAAAGGCAUUUAUGGAAAAUCAAGUGAGUCUUGCAGAUCUUCCCACAAAAGAUGCACUACAAAACUGUAACAUAGUUACAGAAAAAUCUCCGAAGAAGGGAAGUCUAUACCUUAAAAAAAUCAGGAUACAUUUAACUAACCAAACAAGAGCAGGAAAAAUACUAAUUGGAGCAAUAAAAGAAAGAAGACAUGCAUUUGUAUAGUAGGUCACUUGGUAUUGAAGUAAGUUUUAUGCCAAUCUAUAAAAGCAAAAGAAGAUAAGGAAGGAAGAGGUAAAAGAAAGAAGACAUGUAUUUGAUUGUAAAAAAUUAUAAAAUAAAUAGGGAAAGCAAAAAUAACCAUCAAGAAAAUCACUUUAGCUAAUGCUGAAGAGACUUUUUCUGAUCAAGUUGCCACACUAAGUUCUGGUUCUCGAUCUAAAUAAGCUUGUGAGUGCAGCUAUACUUAUCAAUAAGCACCUAAAUACAAAUUGAACUCUACCCGUUGCAAUUACCAAAUGAAGAGUCAUAAGCAGCACAGAUUUAACUUCAACACUUCAAGAAAAUCAAGGGGGCAGAAACACCUGAAUAGCUGCAAUAAAUGAAGUUCAUUACACAAGUAUAAAGAUUUCCACUUUAUACUUUAGUUACUUGAAUUAUCCUAAAGCAGGACCAAAUUGAAUCUGAGGGAGCAACCACCUGCAAGAAUAGUGUCGCACCCCUGCUAGCAUCACGAAAGCAGCCCCAGUAAUAGAUAUUCAAUUUUCUAAUUUACUUAAUCUUUGAAUUUCUUGUUUACUAAUGCUUCCAUUUUCAUUUCAUACUAUAACUAGUUAUUAAAAUGAACUAUUUCUAAAUCAGCAAAAUGUCAUCUUAUAUUACCUUUAGUGCUCAAGCUUUUUGUGUCCUGCUGCUUGAAAUAAAAGCUGCGAUGAUCCAGUGAUUUGUGAUAGUUCUUAGCGCCAAUUUCAGCCCAAACUUCAUCAAGAUCAGAACGACACAUUGCCCACUCCUCUUGUUUCGGCUUCAAGCGC